rnacentral:rRNA from 1 species
AUGAACGCUAGCGGCAGGCUUAACACAUGCAAGUCGAGGGGUAUAGUAGCAAUACUAGAGACCGGCGCACGGGUGCGUAACGCGUAUGCAAUCUACCUUUCACAGAGGGAUAGCCCAGAGAAAUUUGGAUUAAUACCUCAUAGUAUUAUAGUAUGGCAUCAUAUUAUAAUUAAAGUCACAACGGUGAAAGAUGAGCAUGCGUCCCAUUAGCUAGUUGGUAUGGUAACGGCAUACCAAGGCAACGAUGGGUAGGGGUCCUGAGAGGGAGAUCCCCCACACUGGUACUGAGACACGGACCAGACUCCUACGGGAGGCAGCAGUGAGGAAUAUUGGACAAUGGGCGCAAGCCUGAUCCAGCCAUGCCGCGUGCAGGAUGACGGUCCUAUGGAUUGUAAACUGCUUUUGUACAGGAAGAAACACUCCGACGUGUCGGAGCUUGACGGUACUGUAAGAAUAAGGAUCGGCUAACUCCGU